rnacentral:sRNA from 1 species
CCCCGGCCUCCUUUCCCCUUCACGAAGCCGGCUCUGGGGCGCGCUCACCCCUGUGAGGAGGCCGGAGGUCGGACUCAGGAGGCUCCUUCUCCACUCCCGGAAGAUCAUGUACCAGCCCAGCCGGGGUGCGGCCCGGCGUCUCGGCCCUUGCCUGCGCGCCUACCAGGCUCGACCCCAGGGGCCGGACAUGGUACAUUCUUUCACUGACCCUCUGCCGUUUCCUGGCCUGGAAUUAUUUUGCACACCUUCGUUUGGAGGUUUUACAGCUGACCCGCCACCCUGAGAACUGGACCCUGCAAGCCCGGUGGCGGCUUGUGGGGCUGCCCGUCCACUUGCUCUUUUUGCGGUUCUACAAGCGUGACAAAGACGAGCAUUACCGGACCUAUGAUGCCUACUCCACUUUCUACCUGAAUUCCAGUGGCCUCAUUUGUCGCCAUCGUCUAGA